UUGGAUUUCGGAUAGGGGGCGCCGGUCCGCUUCGGUGUGCACUGGCGGCCCAUAUCUUCUUGUCGGGGAUGCGUGCUGGUCUUCAUUGAUCGGCCGCAGAGUCGGCGCUGUUACUUUGAAAAAAUUAGAGUGUUCAAAGCAGGGUUUCGCUUGAAUACAUUAGCAUGGAAUAACAUGAUAGGACUUCGAUCCCAUUGUGUUGGUCUUCGGGACUGAAGUAAUGAUUAAGAGGGACAGUUGGGGGCAUUCGUAUUACAUUGGAAGAGGUGAAAUUCUUGGAUUUAUGUAAGACGAACUUCUGCGAAAGCAUUUGGCAAGGAUGUUUUCAUUAAUCAAGAACGAAAGUUGGGGGGUCGAAGAUGAUUAGAUACAUCGUAGUCUCAACUAUAAACGAUGCUGACUAGGGAUUAGCGGAUGUUACUUGAUGACUUCGCUAGCACUUUGUGAGAAAUCAAAGUCUUUGGGUUCUGGGGGGAGUAUGGUCGCAAGGGUGAAAUUUAAAGGAAUUGACGGAAGGGUAUUACUAUGGCGUGGAGUUUGGGGUUUAAUUUGACUCAACACGGGGAAAUUUACCAGGUCCGGACACAGCGAUGAUUGACAGAUUGAGAGCUCUUUCUUGAUUCUGUGGGUGGUGGUGCAUGGCCGUUCUUAGUUGGUGGAUUGAUUUGUCUGGUUAAUUCCGUUAACGA
rnacentral:rRNA from 1 species